rnacentral:rRNA from 1 species
CGUGUAGGCGGCCAAGCAAGUCAAAGGUGAAAGCCCUGGGCUCAACCUGGGAACUGCCUUUGAAACUGUUUGGCUUGAGACCGGAAGAGGAUGGCGGAAUUCCCAGUGUAGAGGUGAAAUUCGUAGAUAUUGGGAAGAACACCGGUGGCGAAGGCGGCCAUCUGGUCCGGUUCUGACGCUGAGGCGCGAAAGCGUGGGGAGCAAACA